UACGGGGGGGGCAAGCGUUGUUCGGAAUUACUGGGCGUAAAGGGUUUGUAGGUGGCCCGCUAAGUCACACGUGAAAUCCCUCAGCUUAACUCCGAAACUGCAUUCGAUACUGCCGUGCUUGAGGACUGGAGAGGAGACUGGAAUUUACGGUGUAGCGGCGAAAUGCGUAGAUAUCGUAAGGAAGACCAGUGGCGAAGGCGGGUCUCUGGACAGUUCCUGACGCUGAGGCACGAAGGUCAGGGGAGCAAACGGG
rnacentral:rRNA from 1 species